ACAGCCGGUGGAAACGCCCGGGGUAAUACCCCAUGCCGACGCGGAGGGACAUCCCUUUGCGUCGAAAGACGCGAGUCGGUGCGGACGGGCAUGCGUCCCAUUAGCUAGUUGGCGGGGCAACGGGCCCACCAAGGCCCACGAUGGGUAGGGGAUCUGAGAGGACGGUCCCCACACUGGUACUGAGACACGGACCAGACUCCUACGGGAGGCAGCAGUAAGGAAUAUUGGGCAAUGGGGGAACCCUGACCCAGCCAUGCCGCGUGAGGGAAGUAGGCCCUACGGGUCGUGAACCUCUUUUGUCGGGGACAAGGACGCGGUCGUGAACCGUGUUUGCGGGUACUCGGCGAAUAAGCAUCGGCUAACUCCGUGCC
rnacentral:rRNA from 1 species